rnacentral:tRNA from 1 species
GAGGGUAUAGCUCAGCGGUAGAGCACAUGCUUAGCAUGCACAAGGUCCUGGGUUCAAUUCCCCUGUACUGCCA